rnacentral:lncRNA from 1 species
AUUCUCUUGCAUUCCACCCGGGGAACAAGACAGCACCGGGUUUCACACUGGCAAGGCAGGAGGCUGUGUGCUGCCAGAACGACCAGCAGGGGGCGCAAAGGCCACGCCAGGCACCUGCUGGCCUCAGAGAAAACAGAAAGGGAACCAGGAAGCCCACUCCUGCUGUCCUUUCUCUGCAAGGAAAUGUGCCAGGGCACUGCAGCCCAGACAGUCGGCAGUAGAGGACCCAUGAAGGUAUCUUUGUGCAAAGAAAGCAGCAAAGAGAAUUAAGAGAAUUGCAUCAUAUAAAGAGUGAAUUAAACCAUCUAAAGGAGCAAAAAUUCAUCAUCACAUGGACAAGAAAUUAAGACGUAACAUCCAUCUCACUAUUUGCAAAGUGGCUUAUUCCUACAGACAAUGCAGAUAUGUAAAAAGGCAGCUGGAAACCUAGGAGCAGAAGCCCAGCAUAAAGAUCUCUGAAAGCCUGGAUGCGUGGAUUCCUCUCUUACUUCCCAAAACGGUGGGGUGGAAAUGUGAAUAUCAGCAUGAUGCACAGAUCUCUGCAGAUGUCCAGCGAACUGAAUUUCUAGACGCUAUAAUCUAUGUUCUUUCCCAACCCCCACUUCAGUUUACAUAUCGCAGGCCAUAGAUCCUGUUUGUUGAAAAGCGAUCAGCUAGAAAACAAGAGUGGUUAUAACCUGUGCUGCCCAGUGAUCAGGAAAAGAGAGCGGAUGAAACUUCCAUGACUUUCUGUUAGUCUGAUUAAUAUCCAUGCCAAAUGUAAGAUUAGUUAAAAGGCCUUAUUGCUUCCCACCAAAAUGUUCCUUCACUAGCUAUAUACUACACUGAAAUGUAAAGUUAUGGGUAUGUUUAACAGUUUAAUUUGUCAGUGGGCAUCCAACUCUUCUAUUUGUGUUUUUACUUUGAGCUUAAUUGGAGCAGACAAAUAGAGGUGACCUCUAACUGUUUUCUUCCUGAAGCCAUUUUCAGGGCAGAAGUGCUUUACCCACUUCAUUGAGAAACCACCUUUGCAUGCAGUACCCUGAGCUGUCUUCAGCACACCAAGCAUCCACAACAUGGGAAAUACCGUGCUUUAAAUGUUGCUUUAAUCACAGUGCUCAUGAGUAAGGGCAUGUCCUGUCUCUUAUCCAUGAAAACACUCCCACAAAAUGAAGUCACACCCAGUAUCUGUUAACGGAGAUACUGAGUGGGUGAAGAAGACUCAUUCCCUAAUGCAAUUCAGGUCACACAGGGUAAAAAAGAAAAAAAAAUCCUUUUCUGUUGAGGAUACAGAUGGAGAGAAAAUGGAAAAUGCCUUUCAGGAAGCACAAGCCUAGUUUUCUAAUUGUGUUUCAGUGAACACGCAGGUGAACUUACCUGUGUGGCUUGGUAUUGUGGUGGGUUUUCAGCUUCUUCUCCACCAAAUCCUUUGAAAAGCAGCAGUGGCAGAAACAAAUAACCCAAUUAAAAACAAUAAUAGCAACAAUAAAAAAAGAAAAGAUGAAGAAAGCAGUGGUUUUCUUUGGCUAGCUGAGGAACUUU